rnacentral:tRNA from 1 species
UGCAGUCAUUAUUGUGCUUUAUGCACCUCAUGUUUUGGUCGUGAGAUAUUAGAAGUUGGCUGCAA